CGUGGCCCACACACAGCGCCUCAGCCAGCAGGAAGGGCACGGCGAUGGUGCCACUGAAGCACGUCAGGUAGUGCUGGGCGGAGGGAGAGAGCAGAGUGCAUGAGGCAGGACCCUAGAGCUCCAGGGAGAGGGGACAGCCUAGUGUCCUCAUGCCUGCCUCAGCAGGCCUUGACCUGGCUGCCUGCCCAGGAGAGGCAGUCCCCACAAGGGAUUCCCAGAGAGCUACUGCUGACCACUCUGGGGGUCACUAAUUUCCACCCAAGUUAUUCCUGUGGCUUCCAUGGAGUUGGCUCUGCACCCUGUCACCAACACUCCACCUGGCAAGUGUCACACGCCCCCAGGGAGUUCCUCCUCUUUCAGGACUCAGUCUCUUCCCCACCCCUGCCUGCUGACAGCCAUGUGCUGACCUCAGGUUUUUCUUCUUGUUACCCAGGAUACUCCCUGCUGGCCAGGGACAGGCUGGAGUCACCGCGGAGUGUGCAGAGUGAGGGCAGGGAGGCCCUGGGGGACCCACCUGGAAGCCCAGCAGGAUGCACAGAAACUCAAAAGGACGGGGUUCAGAGAGCUUCUGGAUAGCUGAGCACGUGGAGGUUCCUGGCUGGUGAUGCAUCCAUGAAGGGCAUGGAAGCUCCGAGCCCAUUCCCCAUACCUUGCCCUACACAUCUCUUCAUCUGUAUCCUUUGUAACAUCCUUUAUAAUAAACUGGCAAAUGUUUCUCUGAGCUCUA